rnacentral:rRNA from 1 species
UAGACAGCCAGGAGGUUGGCUUAGAAGCAGCCAUCCUUUAAAGAAAGCGUAACAGCUCACUGGUCAAGUGGCUCGGCGCCGAAAAUCCAACGGGGCUCAAGCCGGGUACCGAAGCUGCGGCUCUAUCCAGCAGGAUAGGGGGUAGGGGAGCGUUCCCUACGCGUGGAAGGCGGAUCGUAAGGACCGCUGGAGUGUAGGGAAGUGACUAUGUCGGCAUAAGUAACGAUAAAACGGGUGAAAAACCCGUUCGCCGAAAACCCAAGGUUUCCUGGGGAAGGGUAAUCCGCCCAGGGUUAGUCGGUCCCUAAGCCGAGGCCGUCAGGCGUAGGUGAUGGGAAACGGGUUAAUAUUCCCGUACCACCUGUAGGGCGUUAUCCAGCGAUGGGGUGACGGAGAAGGGUAAACCAGCCGACGAAUGGUCGUGUCGGUUGAAGCUGGUAGGAGGACAGCUCAGGCAAAUCCGGGCUGUCGCUAACUCCGAGAAGCGAGUACGAGAGGCCUAGCCUCAUAAAGUGGUUGAGCCCAUGCUCCCAAGAAAAACCUCUAGUGAGUCCUACGGGUGACCGUACCGGAAACCGACGCAGGUGGGUGGGGUGAGCAACCCGAGGCGCUUGAGAGAACCGUCGUUAAGGAACUCGGCAAAAUGACCCCGUAACUUCGGGAGAAGGGGUGCCUCAUUAGGCUGAAAGGGCUUGCCCCCGGAGGCUGAAGAGGCCGCAGAGAAAUGGCUCAGGCGACUGUUUACUUAAAACACAGGACUCUGCUAACGCGCAAGCGGAUGUAUAGGGUCUGACGCCUGCCCGGUGCUGGAAGGUUAAGGGGAGGGGUUAGCGGUGGUCACACCGCGACGCUCUGAACUGAAGCCCCAGUAAACGGCGGCCGUAACUAUAACGGUCCUAAGGUAGCGAAAUUCCUUGUCGGGUAAGUUCCGACCUGCAUGAAUGGCGUAACGACUUGAGCGCUCUCUCAACGACGGACUCAGUGAAAUUGUAGUGCCAGUGAAAAUGCUGGCUACCCACGACGGGACGGAAAGACCCCGUGCAGCUUUACUAUACCUUGUCAUUGGAGUUUGAUGUUGGAUGUGUAGGAUAGGUGGGAGGCGAAGAAGCGGGAGCGCUAGCUCUCGUGGAGCCACCGUUGAAAUACCACCCUUCCUUCAUUGAGCUUCUAACCCCAGACCGUGACCCGGUUGGGGGACAGUGAUAGGCGGGUAGUUUGACUGGGGCGGUCGCCUCCCAAACUGUAACGGAGGCGCCCAAAGGUCCCCUCAGGCUGGAUGGAAACCAGUCAUCGAGUGCAAAGGCAUAAGGGGGCUUGACUGCGAGAGGGACACCUCGAGCAGGUGCGAAAGCAGGGCUUAGUGAUCCGGCGGUACCACGUGGAAGGGCCGUCGCUCAACGGAUAAAAGCUACGCCGGGGAUAACAGGCUGAUCCCCCCCAAGAGUUCACAUCGACGGGGAGGUUUGGCACCUCGAUGUCGGCUCGUCGCAUCCUGGGGCUGAAGAAGGUCCCAAGGGUUGGGCUGUUCGCCCAUUAAAGCGGUACGCGAGCUGGGUU